AAACUAGUAUAGACAAGGGGAAUCCGACUGUUUAAUUAAAACAAAGUAUUGCGAUGGUGCCUCUGGAUGCUAACACAAUGUGAUUUAUACCUAGUGCUCUGCAUGUGAAAGUGAAGAAGUUCAACUAAGUGCGGGUAAACAACGAGAGUAAUUAUGACUCUCUUAAGGUAUUCAGAUGCCUAGUCAUCUAAUUAGUGACAUGCGUGAAUGGAUUAACAAGAUUCCCACUAUCCCUAGCUACCUUCUA
rnacentral:ncRNA from 1 species